CAGAGAGCAGUGAUUGGUCAGACCAUAGAUAAUAUAGAAGACAGCACGCUAACGUCUCUAGUAUUCUGUUUCUAUGGUCGGCACGUCUGGUGGCAUCUCUGGCUGCUGUUGAUCUUGUUUUUGGAGUAAAACACGGUGGAAGCUGAAUUAGUGAGGAUGACUCCUGCUCCUGUCAUCUCUAAGCUCCUCACACAUCUUUACCUGCACAUGAGGAAAAUCACUCCUGUAGAAUGCAGAUGUUCAGAGGGAGAUGAUGCCACAUCUGGUCCAGCUGAUGGAAGGUCUUGAAGUUCUCUGACUGGCCUCGACUGAAGAUGGUCGUCUCACUGGAUUUAAGGUUCAGAUGCUCAGUAACAAACUCCACCAAUGAGCCAACAGGGAAGCUUUAGGUUUAUUAAAUGUUGCUAUGAAGGUUUCGCUGUUUUUCUUUGUGAAUGCAAUGUGCUCCAACUGAAACUUGAAUUAGAACUUAGAAGUAAAUCCUUCCAUCUGAAAGGAUUUAGUUGCAUUAAUAACCUCAUAACAUUCUAAUUUUUCUUCCAGUCUUAGUUGGAAAUAGAAUCUCUGUAUUGAUUCAGGUAAAAACUGAACUUCACAGCAUGUUGGAGCAAAACAACCAGAUGAAAACUGUGAUGGUGUUGGAUUGUCAGACCGUAAUGUUGCAGCUCAAAGCAGCUUUUCUAGCUCAGUUCAUUCUGACAUUCAGCUAUGAAUCAACACAGCAGAUGGUGAUCCAUGCUGUGGAAGUCUCACAUCUCCUGAUUUAAUGGAGCUGCUUUGCACUUUUUACACUGUUUAUUCACCAACACUUUAUUUAAUAAAAGUCCCAUCUAGUUUUUAUGAGGAAUGUGAUGUUUUAAUUUCUCUGUGAAUAACUGCAGUCUAAUGCAACAGCUGGAGUUGUAACAUCUGUCCUGAUAUUGAUCAUGAAGUAUUGAUCAGAAUACUUAUGGUCAGCAUUCAUCCCUGAAGUUUUACAUUAAAACCUUUACUUGUGUUGUGAAGUUUGGUAAGAAGCAGAAAUGUUAGCGUUGCCAUGGAUACAUGAGUGUUAAAUUCUGUCCAUGUUUCCAUUUUGGGAAAUGCAGUCCAGUUCCAGAAUGUGGAGGAAUUUAGUCUCACAGACAACAAAUAUUAUCUGAAAGUCGGGUUAUUGUUGUUUAUCAGCACAAUACAAAAAGAUUAAUGUUAGAAAUAUUCCAGUUAAGACUCUAGAAUAUCAUGAUUUAUGGAAAUUUACCUCAAUAAUAUGAAUGUUCAGGUUAAGAUUGUACAGUGAUAUUUAUUAUGCAAGUUUAGCUGAUUAAAGUUUAUGACUCUGCACUAAAAUAUUAUUUAAAUUGACAUCAUUAUUAUAUUUAGGGUCAGACCCUACAGUAUUGAGAUUAAGAAAUCAAAUAUUCUAUAAAAUGUAAAUACACUGAACUCAUUUGGAUAUAUUUAAGUGAGACUCUACAAUAUUAUUUGACACAAAUCUAACUAAAUCCAAAUUUUAAUCAUUUUUACCCCAAACAUUUACUGGACUGAUUUAAAUAUUAAAAUCACUCCUUUCUAAUCCUCUGCUGUACGUUCAAACCUGAGGCCUUAAAUAGAAACACACAAGUAUCUGAUUGAAGGAACUUCUGCAGAGUCCUGGUUCUAGAACAUGAUGAUAGAAUUAUAGCCAAACUUUAACAAAAGCUGCCUGAGAGUUUACAGAUUUUUAUGUUGGAUUUCUUCAGUAAAUUUAAUGAGUUAUCAGCAAUAAUCAAGUGUUCAUUUGAUGAACUUCAUUUCCUAAAACAUCCAGAAUUGGAGCUCAUAUCUUUGGCAGCUGUAAAGUUUCUGCUCCUUCAAAGUUCACAACACAAUGAAUGAAUUCCUAAAACACUCUCAGUGCUGGAGAGCGUUUGUGAUGCUGAAGCAGUGACCAGUUUUUCUGUUUCUUCUCUGGAGAUGCACAAUGAGGGACGUCUGCAGCGACUGAGAAAGAGUCUCACCACAUCCUGACAUGAGGAAAAAGACUUAAUUGAAGACUACAAUGAGAAAAACUAUCAGACAGCAGACGGCUGCAUUCAAGAAAGGAAGACCAUCAAACAUCCACGUCAGCUGAUGGAGGACCAAGAGUCUCACCUAACAACCAACCUACAGAGUGAAGACCUCGAAUCUGAUUGGACGGCCUCCUAUUCAGCCACAUGCUACAGGAGGAGCCCUAUGAGGACGAGCCGGUCCACCUGAUGGCGGCCAGUCGCUGCGGUUCAAAGCCAACACCGACUACGUGGACUUCUACUGGACCACACGGAGGCCUUCAAACCGGACCAACAAGUUCACCGACUCCCCGACUCGUGGGUCUGAGGACGCCGCCGAGCCUCGGCCCAGCCGGCCUCCUGUCUGUGGGUGUUUGAGUGCUGAGAGGUUUGUGGAUGCAUGUGAACAUGUCUGUGUUGAAACAGCAGCUUUUCACUCAGUAACGCCGGGAAAAACCAAGAGCUCCUUUAUUUGUGACUUCCACUAAAAAAACUGAUGAAAAUAAGUUUGCCAGGGUUCUGACUAAUAACAGAUUAUUAAAUAAUGAAAAUAAUCGUUUAAAUAUUCUUUUAAACAAUCCUUUUAGGUCUGCAUUUCCUUUACACUGACUUCUUGGUAUAUGUACAAGUAUUUUGGGUGGAAUAUACCAUUAAGCCCGAUGUUCGAGGGUUCUUCUGGGAAUAUACCAUCAGAUCAACCUUUUAGGUCUACAUUGGAAGAUUUUAGAGUAGAAUAUUACUCCAAACCAUCCUUUAGGUCUACAUUUAAGGUGGAAUACUCCUUUACACCAAGAUUUUUUGGUCUACAUUGAAAGAUUUUAGGUGAAAUAUUCCUUUGAACGAACUUUUUAAGUGUAUGUUCAAGGAUGUUUGGUGGAAUAUACCAUCAGACCAACCUCCAAGUUCUACAGUAGUGAAUUUUAGAUGGAAUAUACCAUUAAACUCACCUUUUAGGUCUACAUUGGAGGAUUUUAGGUGGAAUUUUCUUCCAAACCCUCUUUUAGUCUACAUUUAAGGAUGUUUAGGAUGGUAUAUUCUUCCGAACCAACUUCUCAGGUCUACAUUUCAGGUGGAAUAUUCCUCCAUACUAGCUUUUUUGGUCUACAUUGAAGGAUUUUUUCUAAACCACCCUUUCAGGUCUAUAUUUGGGGUUUUAGGUGGAACAUUCCUUUUAACCAGCCGCUCAGGUCUCUUUGAGGGUUUUGGAUGGAAUACUCGAUUAAACCAACAUUUUAGGUGCAUGUCCAAGGAUUUCUGGUGGAAUAUUCCUUUAAGGUGGAUGUUUGAGGACCUUGUAGGUGGAAUACUUCCUGAAACCAACCUUUUAGGUCAACAUUCAAAGAUUUAAGGUGAAAUAUUCCUUUAAACCAACCUAAAUUUCAUGUUUUGAUCAUUAUCAAGUGAGAAACCUCAAUCCAGACUCCUCAUAAUGAUGUUUGAGAUUUAUGCUGCUGUUAUUUGUUUAGACUAAAUGACAGAAAUCCACAACUGUAAUUUUAUUUCAGGACUCGGUUAUUAAAUGUCAAAACAAUCCAUGUGACUCUAAAAACUCAACAGCUUUACAAAGUCUAAGAUUAAACUCUCCACAAGGAUCCAAAAUAAGUUGGACUUCUACAUGAGAGCUUUAAUUAUUCUUCAUCUACUUCCUGAAAAGUUUGGUCAAUAAAAAAGACAAAAACUAAUAUUUUCAGCUGAACUAACGACAGACUUUGUGAUUUUUCUGCUCACAUGUUGUGUUGUUGUAAACUUCCUCUUUCAAAUAAAUAGCCACCUAACCCCCUGGAAACCAGCGUUUGUCCUGUUUUUGUGUUGCUCCUCGGCGACCCUAGACAGCCGGGUCCUAAUGUUUUUUGAGCAACACACCAUACUAUGACGUUUUUACAAUGAUGGUUCUACUAUGAAGCCAGUUUGACAUGUUCAGGUGUUCUUUGUGUGAAAACUCAGAGAUUUCAGGUAUCAGAAGGUGGUUUUCAACUUUCUUUGUUAACUUUCUGCUUCAACUUUAAACUAAAUUUCCUUCACUAACCCAGCCCUCUGGACUUCCAGUAAGCUGUGUUCCUAUUGGCUGUCCAGGUGGCUGCUUGGUAUUAUCAGGAACACCUGAGCAGCUCAGUGUCUUCCUGCUUUAUUUAGCUGCAGACAAACAUUUCCUCUGCUUUUAUUCACCACUGAACCGGGUUUGGCUCCAUUGCUUUAGUUUGUUCUUUAGGCGUUGGCUUGCAGCUUCCAGCAGUAAAAUCGUCUUUAAUGUGUUUCUUGGUGUGUUUUAGGGCUUUGUACUGGAUAGUUGUCUUGGUAAAUGUGGUUCUUUAGCCACAGUUAGCACAUGGUCCUAAUGUGUGCAGUGAUUAGUGGAUUUUGUACAGCUGAGUUGUGUCUUUAUCUUGGCUGUAGUCAGUCUUUAGAGGUUUUUGGUCAGACACAUUCUGUAUUCUUGUUUGUGAACCAACGUUGGUUGUCCAGAAGGUAAGAGUUCCUGUCCUGAUUCUCUGUUCUCAGAGGUUCUCUGGUAGGCUGCAGGAGACUUUAGCGUUUGGGUUGUACUAGUUUGGUUUUUGUACGGUUUCAUUUGGACGACUAUCUUGAGGCCCCUCCAUGUGGUUUAGUGAGGUUUUCUGCAACAGUUCUACAAAGCAACCUGCAGCAGAAGAGACUUUGAGAGUUUUUAGGAAGUUCUGGAGACCAGACUUUAGAGCAGCAGAAACAUUUGUCUGCAGUUUGAGCAGGAGAAGGUGAGCUUCAGAGUAGAAAUGAGAUGGAAACCUUCUUGACCUGUGUGGUGAGGUCCUGUACCAAGAGUUUGAGCAAGUUGUGAAGAGUCUGUAGUUCUUUGGUCUGAAAGCACAAGAAGAGUCGACUCAUUAAAGGAGAAAACAGGAGAUAUUGUUGGUUCUUCUGUCGCUCUGCAGUUUCCAGUUUCCUUAGACUGAAUAUCAAGUUUAUAUUUUAAAUGAUUUCCCAUGUGAGCCCAAGAAGACUUCAAUAAACUCCCUCCAUCCCCUGGACACAACAUAUUUUAUUACCAUGUUAAAUCUUUUUUUUUUUUUUUUUUUUUUAAUGUUUUUGAGUUUUAAUCAUAGUUUUAGAAUAGUUUUUUCUCUUUGCUUGUUUAGUUUUGUCAUCUGUGUAAAAGGUGCUAAACAAAUAAAGUUGAAUUGA